AUCAGGCUGACGAAUCCCAAAUAGGACGAAACGCGCGUUAAACUGGAU
rnacentral:hammerhead_ribozyme from 1 species